rnacentral:tRNA from 1 species
GGCUUUAUAGUGGAAAAAAGACGUCAAAUUGCAAAUUUGAAGAUGUAUAGGUUACUAAAGCUU